rnacentral:tRNA from 1 species
AGGAUUUUAGUUAAUUAAUAACAUUUAAUUUGCAAUUAAAAAUUAUU